CAAAAAGAAGCAAUUUGGAACAUUCUAGAGCAUUUUUGGGCCAAGAUUGGAUUGUGCAAGCAUGGAGGCAUGAGGAUGGACGAAUUUGAAGACAAAAGAGGCUAUGAACAUGCUAAAAAUCUGGUGAAACAAAUACAAGUUGCAAGAAGGGAUAAAUUUCUAGAAUGAUUGACCAAAACUUCACUCAAAACCAAGAAAUUCUUCAAUGCCGUGGGCAUUGAUUCACUUUCACCAGAAAUUUGAGUGAUGAUGUAAUGCUUAAAUCACCAUGACAUGUGAGUGGAUGAUGCAAUGCUUAACUCACCAUGACAUGUGAAUGGAUGACUCAAUACCUAACCCACCAACAAUUCCCACUCUUUGCCUUGCUCACCUACUCAAUUCCACCAGAAUUUUGUGUUAAACAAGUCCAUCAUUUUCCUAUAAAUACCAUGGCAGCAACCUCAUUCAAAUCAUCCAGAAAUUAACCAUUCUCCAAGCCUUCCCUUGCCUCUCCCCUACAUAUCUAAACCUUCCCCAUCCAUUCCUCCAUAUAACCAACCAUUCAACCACCAUAACCACCUUGUGCCGCCACCAUUGAAGGAGAGGAUGAGUAGUGCCGUGCUUAUGCAAUCUGCAACUAUUAGAGUGUUUGGAAUUCUUUCUUCUUUUAAUUCUAUGUUCAUGUUUAAUUUAACUUGCUGUUCAAUUAUGUUAAACAUGUGGAACUAAUUUCUUUUUAGUUAGAGGCAAAUUUGAAGCCAUGGACAUAUGUUGGUUAUGAUUUGUUUUACUCCAGUUAUGAAUUCAUGAACUUUAGAUGUGGUUUACUUUUCUGUUUUGAUUAAGAACUUGUUUAUGUAUGUGGGUUGAGGGUCGACACUUAAUUUGCAUGCCUAAACUUGAUGCUAGGAUAUAAGGGAAUUUCACUUAAUCGUUAUGAACUUAUAUUCAUGAGUAGUAAAGAUCGCUAGUCACGAUUGUGUUUAAGUAAACCAUAGGCUGGAUUAACAUGCGUAUUCCAUAGUUAUGAAUGCCUAGUCAAUGUUUAUGAUUUCCGUUGAACUUAAUGAUCUUUGUUGAAUGUCUCUAUCAUGCGUAUUCCAUAGUUAGGGACUUUGAUGAGGAAUAAUUUGGUUGUAAUGCGUAUUCCAUUCAAUCCAAUGAAUCUAGGAAAAUCUAAGAGUUAAUUUAAGCGGACCUAAUUAACUUGGAACAUUGUCAUUCAUCGUUUGUUGAAGUCAUAACUGGGAAUCAAAUUAUAUGCAUAUGUUCAUGUGUGGAUAAGGAACCCUCUAACUAGUUUCUCAUCAUUCUAUUUCAUCACAAUCUGUUUUGUUUUAAGUUUAUUUUCAAAGUUUAAAGUUUUAAAGUUCAAUUUUCGUCAAAAACAAAACCCCUUGCUUUUUAAGUCUUGCUUUUAGAGUCAAAAACUUGUUUCCUUUAAAUCUUUUGAGUCUUUUAAAGUUAUAUUUUCGUCCAAAUCACUUGUUAGGUCUAGAAUUGAAUCUUUUUUAUUGUUAUUUGCUGUUUUGAGUAUUUUAAGUUAGUUUUGAGUUUAUAGAGUCUAGUUUAGUGUUUUUGAGUCUUAUAUUUGUUGAUUAGCAUCCCUAGUUAAUCCCCGGUCUAGAACGAUCCCUACUUACAUCAUUACUACAAUUGUCAUCAAUAGGGUUUAAUUUGUGUGUCAAGUAAUUUUCACAUCAAAUUUUGGCGCCGUUGCCGGGGAUUAGCAACUUUGCUAAUCCCUUUAUUUUUGUUUUUGUUUAUGUUUAUAUUGGUGUUUGUGUAUUUUACUUUUGAUAUUUGAUUUAUUUUUCUUUCUUUGAUUUUAGGUACAAAUGGAGCGAGACAUGGCACUUGCGACCAUUCAAGCUCAAUUGGCACAGCUCACUGCUCAAUUGACUCAUAAUGCCGAACGGACCACAAUGCCAAGUGUCCCUACACUUGAUGUGCCCUAUGGGCAAGGAUAUCAAAGUCCUCAAUUUUAUGCCAAUGAAGAUGUUUGGGGAUAUCAAGGCCAUAACCAAUCAAGGGGCAACAUAUUUUCCAACGCUUACAAUUCAGAUUGGAGAGGUAAUUCAGAUUAUAUGUGGGAUGAACCUCAACAAUUUCAACAAGGUGGAUAUUGGUAGCAAGACAAGUUCUAUUCAAGACCUAUGCAGCCACCACAGCAUCCCCCACAACAAUUCCAAUCAAAUCAAAGUAUGCCCGUGAAUUAUAAUGAAAUUCUUGAAGGACUAAUUUCUUUGGCGCAGGGUUUUCAAAAAGAAGAACAAUUUUCGCCAUCGGAAGAGUUCUAUCAGUGGCCAUAUGAACCGUCACAGCCACCACAACAAUCAACCCAAUUCAAUUCAGGUACGUCCUUGGAUAAUGAUACACUUAAUAAGUUACUCACCUCUUUGAAUCAGGGAGUAGAAAAUCAAAACCAGGAGAUGCAAGACCGAGUCAAAAGAGUGGACGAAUUGGAGAUGCAAGUUGGGUAGAUUGUGGAAUUCAUGGCACAGAUUCGAGAUCAAAGUGAACUUUCCAACUCAAACAUUGCAAAUUCAAAAGCAGAAAGUGAAAUCGAUGAAGCCAUCACUUUGGAAGGUGACAUGAAGGAUGAAGCUGUCCCAGAACCAUCCAAACACAGCCCGAACAUGGAUGAAUUGCUGCUGCAAGCAGAAGAGGAGGAGGACGACCUGGGCAGUUAGAAGAAUUCUUGCUGCAAGCUCCUCAAAUCCCUAUGUCAUCCAACUCAGGUGAGGAAGUUCUAAAUUCACUUCAUUCUAACAUUAUUCCACCGAAUGUCCUUUGUCCUUGCAGGUUUUUGAUUCCAAAUAUCAAAGAGAGUGAAAAAGACGUUGUGGAAGCUCUUCCAAAGGUGCAAAGUGAUAUCCCAAUUCUUGGUGCACCAAAACAAGUUCCCGAUGGUAUUGAAACGUUCAAAGAACCUUGCACACCAAGAAAAGGGAUUCAAGAAAAUGAAGUGGUUGAAGCAUAUCAAGAAUACAUCCAAGAGGCUGUGCAUGAGACAAUCAAGCCCAAAGCAGUUGAGUUUGAUAACACGGGACAAGCCAUAACCAUCAUAGUAAACCUGGCCAAGUUCAAAGUCCCGGAAAUGUUCAAAGAUGUGGUGUUUGUCAUUGAGUUUGUGUCGGAAAAAGAAAGUAAGCCAUCUUCUCCAAUUUCAAUUUUAAUUUAUACUAACAUGUUUCUGAUUUUGAUGAUUUAGGCACCCACUCUUGAAUUUAAACCAUUGCCGAAUCAUUUCAAGUAUCACCUCCCAUUAAAAGAUAAAUUCCAUGCUUUGGAGCCGAGUGGAGUUUAAAGGAAAGAUUCGUCUGGCUAAAGACGUUAAAUCAAGCGCUUCUUGGGAGGCAACCCAAACAUUCAACGAAGGGAGACUUUGGAAUCGCUAACCAAAUCAGAUUUGCAUUCUUACACCCUUAUCUUUACUGCUUUCAUUUUGUUUUGUUCAGUUAGUUGUGUUAUUUGGUUGAUUUCUGUGAGUUUGUGUUAUUUAGUUUAAGUGUGGGGAAGGUUAAACAAAGUCUUUUUACAUUGAUUUACAUAUUUUACAUUGAUUUAAAAAUAAAAAAUUAAAAAAAAAUUAAAAAAAAAAAAACAUAAAAGUAAAAAUAUUUUACAAUGAUGUGUAAACUAAUAGCAUUCAUUGGUCAGGUGGUGCUUCAGUAGUCGACGGAGCUUCAGCAGUCGGCGGGGCCACGAAAGGAGGAGGUAUCGGAGGUUGAUCAGUUAGAGCUUCACUACGCGGUGCCGCCCCAGAAGACGAAGGCAGAUGCGGUUGGAACAAACCCACAAACCUCCGAUGAUCAAGUAAAAUUUGACCAUCAGUGUCUUGCAGCUGGUCAAUUUUCCUCUUCAUGUUUGUGGCAUAACUGUGUGCAAGCUUGUGCAAUUGUUUAUUUUCAUGCUUGAGUCCUCUAAUCUCCUCUUUGAGACUCUGUAUUUCAGCCACCAACGAUUCAACGUGACGGGUUCGAGCAUAUAGGCAUUGGGCCAUGUUAGACACAGAACCCGCACACUGCACGCUAAGAGCCAGAGACUCCUUAACUGCCAAUUCAUCAGACCGUCUAGCGAGCAGUCUGUUAUCUCUGGGGGUGACAAGGUUCCGGGCCACCACCGCAGCAGUCAUGUCAUUUUUCAUCACCGAAUCCCCAACAGUAAGAGGACCAGUAGGGGAUAUGAAAGAUGGGCGCCAUAUGUUAUCUGGUGAAGGCAGGGCUGCCUCUUCACCACGGUUCAAGUCAAAACGACGAUCGGAAAGGCCAGACAUUUUCUGAAGGUGUUGAGAAAGAAGAGAUCGGACAGAUUAAGAUUUCGGAAGUGCAAGAAGGGAGUGUUUACAGGAGGGAGCUCAAGUGUGUUGUGGAACAAAUUUAACGCCUCUAUAAAAAAGAAGAAAUCAAAGAGGCGCUCCUCAGAAAUUGAAGAGGCAUCCUCUCGCAAAUCGAAGAGUCGGGGCUCCUUUCUCAAACGCCUGAUUCUUUUCUCAAAAGAGGAGUUUCCUUUCUCAAAAGCCGGAUUCUUUUCUCAAAAGAGGCGUUUCAUUUCUCAAAAAAAAUGGGCUUGCUCAGAAACCACGAGCCGAACCCCGGAUUUCAAAAGAUCAAUUUGUCCAGACGUGUUGUCACUCGUCACAUGCAACUGGCAGCUUUGCGGAAAUUACGGGCAACUUUGUCAGAAAGCGCGUAAUUUGUACUAUUUAUCCAUCCACCGGCUGCCGACAAUGAGUGAGAGAAUAGUUCCGGUUGUGAAGAAAAGUCCCAUAAAUAUCUACCUUCGCCUUCCACAGCAAAGGCACACCCUCUCAGCACUUCUUCAUCUCCGAGAAUGCAUUCCCAAAGAACCCUCUCGAGUCACUCUGUAUUCCUCAUUCCCUGGGAUACCCCUGCAAACAACCCAUCCAAAGCACAAGUAUUUCAUAUCAUCAAGGUUGAGAGCACAAGGAUCUCAUAUCAUGCUUUCUCCCUGUCCUUUCUCCAGCCAGCACCUGCUCUCGAGUACUCAUCAUCUUAUGCUUCUGCUUCGUCUCUCACGUAUAAGGGAAGUGAAGAUGAUACCUCGAAGCAUGUGGAGACAACGUGCUGAUUCAUCCUCAACUAGGGACAAGGAGAAAGAAAGCAAGAGGUGGGCACUUGGAAAGAUUGAAGAAAGAAACAGACCAACACCUCUCCCUCGUGCCUGCCCGUCGUGCAGAAGAAACAAGCAGAGAAGAAUGCAGCUUGCACAAUCAUCCCAGCAGAAGGAGUCUGAGAUGAAGAACUAGAGAAGCUGCCACAUCUGCUUGGAGACAAAUAAGGAACUGCAACAUCACCAAAGAGCAAAGCUUCGCCGUACAAUAUCAUCAAAUCAUCACUUGCAAGUAAAAAGCUAAGUGUCACCCCGUUCAAGAGGAAAGCUGUGGAAAGUCAACAAGCACGACCAAUGAUCACUUAUUAGUUCUAUUCAUUGUCUUUUAUCGUGAUUUUCAAUUUUUCGUUUGCAAUUUUUUUUACAUUUUCUUGUGUUACUUAACUGAAUUAUUUCUUUUCUUUGCAGGAAUUUUUUGUUAUUUCCACCCUUGAAGUUGAUUGCAGAAUUUUAGCUUGGGGGGGUCAUCGCUUGGUUUUACUGCAAACUAGGGAAGUUUUCAGUCCAAUUGCUUUAUUUUGUUUCUUAUUAUUUAUUUUAUUUUUAUUUGCAUUAUAGUGUUUUCUGACAUUGAGGACAAUGUUUGGUUUAAGUGUAGGGGGUAAACAAGCUAUUUUUGCAUGAAAUUCGUGGGAUUUUAUCACCUAUCACUUCACAUGUUGUUUCUCACUGUUUUAAAGUGUUUUUAGUGUUUUAAUGUGUUUUAGUGUUAUAUAACAGAAAACCCUAGAAAAAUUCGAAAAAGUUUGAAAAAUACCAAAAAGAGUCGUUUUUGAGUCAUUUUUGUGUUUUAGGGUACCUUCCAACACAAUGAUGAGGAUUUGGUUUUUCAUUGCAUAACUGUUGAAGUAAGUUACAAUCAUGGAUGAAAGUUUGAUAUGCUCUUUGGUUUAUGCUUAGUUGUAAUUCAUGAAUUCACAUGUAAUCAAAAGAAAAAUUAGUUUUUGUAACAUGCUUGAAGGAAGAAACUCAAACUAACGCUACAACCCUGAGAGACUUGAGCUUUUAACGUUCUUUGGAGAGUUAAUAAUCUGUGCAUUUGUUGUCUUCUAAAGUCGUUGCAUGAUCUCAUUAUUCUUUGCUUGGUUACUACUUAGAAGGCGUUUCAUCAUUUAGUUCCAAAUACUAGAACUCAUGCCCGUUUCAUUCAAAGCAUAAAAUUGAUUCGCAUAACACAUAACAAGAUGAAGUUCUUAGUAAACCAAGAACCAAAUAGCCGCACCCCAUGUUCAUUUGUUUUGUAGGUUUAAGCCCCGUUGAGCCUUGUUUAGCCUAUGUUCUUUGUUAACCCACGUUAUCCUUACCUAGCCUAGAAUAGGACCAUCCAUGCCUUUGUUCUUAAAGCAUAGUGAACAUGACUUAGAAUGAAUUCCUUUUGAUUAUUCUUGUGCAGAAAAACAAGUGUGGGGGAAGGAAUUUAUGUGUGGGAAUUUGUGCCAAAAGCAAGAAUUGGGUACGAAAAAAAAAAAAAAAUUAUGGCAAAGAGGUCAAAAUAAGAAAGAACUCACAAGUGUUGGUUGUUGAAGAAAGGGUCCAAAAAGUUAAAUUAGACCCUAAAUAUUGUGUAUUUCACCCCCUUGUGUGUCUAAGUGAUUUUCUGCACGCAAAAGUGAAUUCUAAGUGUCAAAUUCAUUACUUGUUUGCUAUCGCUUUAAGAACUUUUGUUUAUCCUUAACCUUUCUUUGUUAGCCAAUACCCCUUAGCCCCGUUACAAUCCUUAACUUCUAUCUUGAGUGUUAUGUAUUUCAAUAUGUGGAGUUUGGGAUUGGUUUGAGCAUAUGGUGUCCCUGGUUCUCGCAUCUAAGUAGUAGCGUUCCAUUUAUGAGAUCAUAUCUAUAAAUGCUUAAUCAUUCCAGAAAAGUGCUUCUUUUAUAACAUGUGUGAGUGUUCGUUUCCAUGUUUACAUCAAUCUUCUCACAUAUACUUAGUAUAGGGAGUGUAGUUAGAAAAUCCGUGUGAAAAUAAGAGUGUAUCCAGUAAGGAAUUGAGUGGAUUCUCUAAGGCAUGUUACUACGUCCAUAAUGUUGUUUUAAACGAUUAAAUGUGAGCUAGUGAAUGGUAACUAUGAUUAAGUAUAUGCUCAAGAGUAGGGAUGACUAAAAUCUGUGGGAAUAAUGAUCUUUGGCAUGUUAUGUAUCGUUGGAAAAUCCCUGUGUAGCAAAUGUUGGAAGGUUAGGUCAUGUUUUGUUUGUUUUAUUUUGCUCGAGGACUAGCAAAAGCUAAGUGUGGGGGAAAUUGAUAGGAGCAUAUUUAUACGACUUAGUUAGCUUGUUUUCUUGCUUUUAAUUAGCUAAACUAUGAUAAUUAUAGUGUUUAAAGUUAUUUUCGUGCAAUUUCAGGUUUUUAGUGUCAAAGUAUGCAAAAAGAAGCAAUUUGGAACAUUCUAGAGCAUUUUUGGGCCAAGAUUGGAUUGUGCAAGCAUGGAGGCAUGAGGAUGGACGAAUUUGAAGACAAAAGAGGCUAUGAACAUGCUAAAAAUUUGGUGAAACAAAUACAAGUUGCAAGAAGGGAUAAAUUUCUAGAAUGAUUGACCAAAACUUCACUCAAAACCAAGAAAUUCUUCAAUGCCGUGGGCAUUGAUUCACUUUCACCAGAAAUUUGAGUGAUGAUGCAAUCCUUAAAUCACCAUGACAUGUGAGUGGAUGAUGCAAUGCUUAAAUCACCAUGACAUGUGAAUGGAUGACUCAAUACCUAACCCACCAACAAUUCCCACUCUUUGCCUUGCUCACCUACUCAAUUCCACCAGAAUUUUGUGUUAAACAAGUCCAUCCUUUUCCUAUAAAUACCAUGGCAGCAACCUCAUUCAAAUCAUCCAGAAAUUAACCAUUCUCCAAGCCUUCCCUUGCCUCUCCCUACAUAUCUAAACCUUCCCCAUCCAUUCCUCCAUAUAACCAACCAUUCAACCACCAUAACCACCUUGUGCCGCCACCAUUGAAGGAGAGG
rnacentral:lncRNA from 1 species